ACAAGUACCGUGAGGGAAAGUUGAAAAGCACUUUGAAAAGAGAGUGCAAGAGAACGUGAAACCGUUAUAGUGGAAGCGGAUGGAGCCGACGUAUGAGUGCGUAUUCAGCCUUGGACGGGGGUGAUCCGGCGAACGAGGAUUCUGCAAAGUUCUUCCUCGUCGGUUGUCGCUCACGUUCAUGGUGCACUUGCGUACAUAGUGCGCCGAGUCAGUCGAGCUCGUUGUUGGAAGUCGCCGAAGAGGACUCCUUUUAGGAGGAGAAACCUGCGGUUGAUGGAUGGCAAAUGAGCUUGGUUGUGUAAAAGGACUGGUGAAUUCGUUGCAGGCGUCUCGAGUUUCGCGGACCUACGUACGACACAUGUGUUUUGCGUUUGUGUGUGGGAUUGGAGGCGUUUGCUGCUCUGUCCUAACUCGGUGUUCAGUCGGUCACCCAUUUGACCCGUCUUGAAACACGGACCAAGGAGUUUAAGGUGUACGCAAGUCAUUGGAGGUCGGAAAUCCAAAGGCGUAAUGAAAGUGGGACACUUGGUGUCUGUGAUGUGACGUGAGGUCGAUUCGUUGGCCGCGCAGCAACAUCAACCCAUGACUAGGAUUCAUUCUGUUGUGGAGUUCGAGCGUACGCUUUGAGACCCGAAAGAUGGUGAACUAUGCCUGAACAGGUUCAAGCCGGAAGAAAUUCCGGUGAAAGACCGAAGCGGUUCUGACGUGCAAAUCGAUCGUCUGAUUUGGGUAUAGGGGCGCAAGACUAAUCGAACCAUCUAGUAGCUGGUUCCUUCCGA
rnacentral:rRNA from 1 species